GAAUGCUGACAUAAGUAACGAUAAAGCGGGUGAAAAGCCCGCUCGCCGGAAGACCAAGGGUUCCUGUCCAACGUUAAUCGGGGCAGGGUGAGUCGACCCCUAAGGCGAGGCCGAAAGGCGUAGUCGAUGGGAAACGGGUUAAUAUUCCCGUACUUGGUGUUACUGCGAAGGGGGGACGGAGAAGGCUAUGUUGGCCGGGCGACGGUUGUCCCGGUUUAAGCGUGUAGGUGUGUGUUCCAGGUAAAUCCGGUUCACUUUAACACUGAGGCGUGACGACGAGGCACUACGGUGCUGAAGCAACAAAUGCCCUGCUUCCAGGAAAAGCCUCUAAGCAUCAGGUAACAUCAAAUCGUACCCCAAACCGACACAGGUGGUCAGGUAGAGAAUACCAAGGCGCUUGAGAGAACUCGGGUGAAGGAACUAGGCAAAAUGGUGCCGUAACUUCGGGAGAAGGCACGCUGACACGUAGGUGAAGUGAUUUACUCAUGGAGCUGAAGUCAGUCGAAGAUACCAGCUGGCUGCAACUGUUUAUUAAAAACACAGCACUGUGCAAACACGAAAGUGGACGUAUACGGUGUGACGCCUGCCCGGUGCCGGAAGGUUAAUUGAUGGGGUCAGCGCAAGCGAAGCUCCUGAUCGAAGCCCCGGUAAACGGCGGCCGUAACUAUAACGGUCCUAAGGUAGCGAAAUUCCUUGUCGGGUAAGUUCCGACCUGCACGAAUGGCGUAAUGAUGGCCAGGCUGUCUCCACCCGAGACUCAGUGAAAUUGAACUCGCUGUGAAGAUGCAGUGUACCCGCGGCAAGACGGAAAGACCCCGUGAACCUUUACUAUAGCUUGACACUGAACAUUGAGCCUUGAUGUGUAGGAUAGGUGGGAGGCUUUGAAGUGUGGACGCCAGUCUGCAUGGAGCCGACCUUGAAAUACCACCCUUUAAUGUUUGAUGUUCUAACGUGGACCCGUUACCCGGGUUGCGGACAGUGUCUGGUGGGUAGUUUGACUGGGGCGGUCUCCUCCUAAAGAGUAACGGAGGAGCACGAAGGUUGGCUAAUCCUGGUCGGACAUCAGGAGGUUAGUGCAAUGGCAUAAGCCAGCUUGACUGCGAGCGUGACGGCGCGAGCAGGUGCGAAAGCAGGUCAUAGUGAUCCGGUGGUUCUGAAUGGAAGGGCCAUCGCUCAACGGAUAAAAGGUACUCCGGGGAUAACAGGCUGAUACCGCCCAAGAGUUCAUAUCGACGGCGGUGUUUGGCACCUCGAUGUCGGCUCAUCACAUCCUGGGGCUGAAGUAGGUCCCAAGGGUAUGGCUGUUCGCCAUUUAAAGUGGUACGCGAGCUGGGUUUAGAACGUCGUGAGACAGUUCGGUCCCUAUCUGCCGUGGGCGCUGGAGAACUGAGGGGGGCUGCUCCUAGUACGAGAGGACCGGAGUGGACGCAUCACUGGUGUUCGGGUUGUCAUGCCAAUGGCACUGCCCGGUAGCUAAAUGCGGAAGAGAUAAGUGCUGAAAGCAUCUAAGCACGAAACUUGCCCCGAGAUGAGUUCUCCCUGAGACUUAGAGUCUCCUGAAGGAACGUUGAAGACGACGACGUUGAUAGGC
rnacentral:rRNA from 1 species